rnacentral:rRNA from 1 species
UAACGGAUAUUGGGCAAUGAGCGAAAGCUUGACCCAGCAAUGCCGCGUGCAGGAUGAAGCCCCUCGGGGUGUAAACUGCUGUCAGGGUCUAGGAAGAUCUGACCAGACCCAGAGGAAGGGCCGGCUAACUUCGUGCCAGCAGCCGCGGUAAUACGAAGGGCCCGAGCGUUAAUCGGAAUCACUGGGCUUAAAGGGUGCGCAGGCGGAACGGCGAGUGUCUUGUGAAAUCCCACGGCUCAACCGUGGAACUGCAGGGCAUACUGCCGUUCUUGAGGCCGGAAGAGGUUGCCGGAACUCUAGGUGUAGCGGUGAAAUGCGUAGAUAUCUAGAGGAACGCCAAAGGCGAAGGCAGGCAACUGGGCCGGUUCUGACGCUCAGGCACGAAAGCGUGGGGAGCAAACA